AUUGAACGCUGGCGGCAGGCCUAACACAUGCAAGUCGAACGAGUGGCGGACGGGUGAGUAAUGUCUGGGAAACUGCCCGAUGGAGGGGGAUAACGACUGGAAACGAUAGCUAAUACCGCCUACCAUAGGAGGUGCCCAGAUGGGAUUAGCGUGUAGGUGAGGUAACGGCUUACCUAGGCGACGAUCACUAGCUGGUCGGAGAGGAUGACCAGCCAAACUGGAACUGAGGCACGGUCCCGAGUCUUCCUGGAGUGAGCAGUGGGGCAUAUUGCACAAUGGGCGCAGGCCUGAUGCAGCCAUGCCGCGUGUAUGAAGAAGGCCUUCGGGUUGUACAGUACUUUCAGCGGGGAGGCGUUACCCGCAGAAGAAGCACCUGCUAACGCCGUGCCAUCCGCCGCGGUAAUUC
rnacentral:rRNA from 1 species